rfam:Octopus bimaculoides Scaffold192713_contig_2, whole genome shotgun sequence.
GCCCCAAUAGCUCAGAGGUUUAGAGCACUGGUCUCGUAAACCAGGGGUCGUGAGUUCGAAUCUCACUUGGGGCA